CUGUCCGAGGGGCGCUGCAGCAGGCUUACCAUUCAGGGGUCUGUCAGGCUCGGAUAGGGCGUUAACCAUACGCAUCAACGGCGCCCAUUCGCA
rnacentral:ncRNA from 1 species